AGUAUCAUUAAGUGAAUACAUAGCUUAAUGAGGGGAACUCAGGGAACUGAAACAUCUAAGUACCUGAAGGAAGAGAAAGAAAUUCGAUUCCGUAAGUAGCGGCGAGCGAACGCGGAUUAGCCCAAACCAAUAAAGUUUUCUUUAUUGGGGUUGCGGACAUAUCAUAACGAAGAGGUAUCGUAAUUGAAGAGGUUUGGAAAGACCCACCACAGAAGGUAAUAGUCCUGUAUGUUAAACGAGAAGACUUUAGAUAUGAUCCAGAGUACCACGGGACACGUGAAACCCUGUGGGAAGCAGGAGGGACCACCCUCCAAGGCUAAAUACUACCUAGUGACCGAUAGCGUAUAGUACCGUGAGGGAAAGGUGAAAAGAACCCCGGGAGGGGAGUGAAAUAGAACCUGAAACCCUGCACUUACAAGCUGUGGAAGCACAUUUCUUGUGUGACCGCGUACUUUUUGUAGAACGGGCCAACGAGUUACGUUAAGUAGCAAGGUUAAGCACUUAAGGUGGGGGGCCGUAGCGAAAGCGAGUUUUAACUGAGCGUUCAGUAACUUGACGUAGACCCGAAACCGGGCGACCUACCCAUGAGCAGGAUGAAGCGAAAGGAAAAGUUCGUGGAGGUCCGAACCCACGAGCGUUGAAAAGCUCGGGGAUGACUUGUGGGUAGCGGUGAAAUUCCAAUCGAGCCCGGAGAUAGCUGGUUCUCCCCGAAAUAGCUUUAGGGCUAGCCUCAAGGUGAGAGAUACGGAGGUAGAGCACUGAAUGUCCUAGGGGGUAUUGCACCUACCGAAGACUAUCAAACUCCGAAUGCCGUCAUCUUAUACUUGGGAGUCAGACUGUGGGUGAUAAGAUUCAUAGUCGAAAGGGCAACAGCCCAGAUCGUCAGCUAAGGUCCCUAAAUGUAAGUUAAGUGGUAAAGGAUGUGGGAUUGCACAGACAACCAGGAUGUUGGCUUAGAAGCAGCCACUCAUUCAAAGAGUGCGUAAUAGCUCACUGGUCGAGUGAUCCUGCGCCGAAGAUUUCCGGGGCUAAAACUUACUACCGAAGCUACGGCAUCAGUAAUGAUGGGUAGGGGAGCUUCCCAUACGGGUUGAAGCAUGACCGUAAGGACAUGUGGACAGUAUGGGAGUGAGAAUGUUGGCAUGAGUAGCGAGAUGUGGGUGAGAAUCCCACAGGCCGUAAACCCAAGGUUUCCAGGGGAAGGUUCGUCCGCCCUGGGUUAGUCGGGACCUAAGCUGAGGCCGAAAGGCGUAGGUGAUGGACAACAGGUUGAUAUUCCUGUACUACCGAU
rnacentral:rRNA from 1 species